AGGGAGAGCGCCGGAUCUUGGGCUGUGUCCCCCGCGCCCUGUGCUCCAGGGCCUGCCCUGUUGGAAUCGCGCUGGCGGCUGCACAGCUCCCU
rnacentral:pre_miRNA from 1 species